GCUGCCGUUUCACUAUAAAUGGAAAACAUGGAAGAUUGUUGUUUUAUUUUUAUUUUUUUUAAAUGUAUAUAGCCGCCAUCAAAGUGCUUCACGGAACACAGUGACUGUUAUCCCCCUUGUCCUGUUGAUGAUAGAUCAUCUGAGUGAUUGCUCAAGGCAUGAAGUCAUCUGACCAGUCUCAUCCUGCCAGAGUAAACAACCCUUCAUGAGCAGAAGCUGCAAAUGGGGCCGGGUCCUGGUGCAGUUCCGGCUGUUCCUGCGAUCCUUAUCAACAAUCAGAGAAGCUGAUCAUUUGAUGGAAGAUUGAGUUCAAUACAGGGAAAUCCUGGAGGAAAACCUGGAAGACCUCAAUGAUCUGACAAGGAGCCAAGGCUUCGUCCAUGGUAGUACAUGAAGUUUCACCGGCUGUCAGCGGCUGUCGGCUGUAUUCAUCCCCUUCAACGACUGCAACUCGUCUGUCCGCUCCAAGUCUGCCAAGAGUGGGGAAAACUUUUGCAGUGACAGGCUUGUCGUUUGUUCAACGGCUUCAAAGAUGUUUUUCGUUCACGUGGCUUCGUAGUUUCUCAGGUCUCGUAGUUUUGGGAAUCAUCCGGACUCAGCUGAUCAGACGAUCUGACACCAGACCUCCACCAACGCAUGGUAGCGUCACGUGGUAACACAGACGCUGCUGUGGAGUGAGGAUGUUUAACGCAGCAUUGGAUUGAUAUGAGCAUUUUUCGUUUGAAUUGCUUUUAGUUGCCAAAACCUAAAGCAGGAGGGUUAGUCUGGGUAUUUCUUAACCACACCUGUUCACAUUUUACUGAUUUCCAAAUUUACUGGAAUAUGACAUCUUUCUGCUCCAGCUAAGGGAGUUAUUACAUAUAAUUACUCCACAGACACUAAAUCAGAAAAUUAAAUAAAUCUGUUCCUUAUGUAAUAGUGUA